UUCUGCUUGGCCAGGCCGAAAUCGGAGAUUUUUGCAUGCCCUCGAUGGUCCAACAGAAUAUUCAGGGGUUUAAUGUCUCUGUAAUAUAACGAUAAAAGGAAUUAGAUAAAAAAAAGACAAGGGCUGCUGAUUUGCAGCAAUGUUACAGAGAGGAAAAAUUGUAUACUGACCGGUGGAUAAUCCCCUUGUUAUGCAGGAACUGCAGGCCGCAGAUCAUCUCCGCCGAAUGGAACCUUUUAAACAGGGAAAUAAUGGUUACCUCCAUAAAGAUUAUCAUGUAAUAUGAAAUUUAAAUAUGAUGCUCCCCAGUGUCAAAAUGUACUUAUUGUAUUAUUCCAUCCUUUGUAUAGGUACAAUUUGUAUAAAUCUAUUUCUUAGUGAUAUUGUACCUGUACCAAUAUAAUACUUACCGUACUCUCUGUAUAUCUAGGCUGCCGUAUUGAUCCAGCUCAUCCUCAAGGCUUCCCCCACUCAGGAAUUCCAUGACAUAAAAGGCGUGCCGCUGGUUACACAGACAAUUGCAAAGUGUCAAGAGAAGGAAGAAAUGGCACAAGACUUACAACGCAAAAGAGAGCACGAGGAUUUCUUAUCUACUCUAAGGUAGAGCCUUGCCAGGGCACCUCACAGAGGAAGCAGCCUCCCACAUUUAUGUCAUCAGUGCACACAGUUGUAAAGCGAUCCUUCUGGGUACAGCAGCACACUAAAGCGUCUGUACGACUCCGACACUCGCACAUCUCUCCCUUCUGCUAGACAAGAAAAAAUCUGGACAAUGUUACCUGGAUUUUGCACCUUCAAGGGAAUUGCACGCACCCUGGGAAUGGCAAUCAAUGAUCGUCCAGACCUGAGACCUGGGGCAUGAAUUUCGGAUUGUUAAAAGAUUGUAAAAAUUUUGUAGUAACCACGAUAAUUUCUAAUGUGCGUAAAUUGUGCGGAAAUUUGUGUUGUGGACGUACGAAAACAUUGUGGUUGCGAUCCGAAAGUUACCAAAUUUUCGUAUACAAACAUUUAUAAACAGCGUGAAAACCUUUCUGACUUUGAAACUUCAAUGCAUGAUUUUGGAAGCCUUCCAUGGGACUCAAUGGCACUCUGCAGCUCCAACCUGGCCAAAAGAAAGUCACAAUACCGAAGCUUGAAUGAAUUCCAUAACGGUCGUAGUCGUUGCGAAUGAUAUGACUUUUUCAUGCAAAUUUUACCAAUAUUUUCGUUAUCAUUACGAAAAGUUCUAAACUAGAAAAAAUAUGAAUUUUUUGCCAUCAUGGUCAUCAUGCUUUAAUGAAUGGGCUCCUUAGUCUGCUAAACUCUGCGAUCACUUAUCAACAAGGGUUGUGAAUCAGGUAUUCCUGUCUGAUGUACUGAUGAUAUAAAAUCAAUAGCACAAAUGAGUUAAAGGGGUUAUUUAAGUUUCCCACGUAUAUCUAGAAACUGGUCUGUACAUUCAGUAGUGCUGUGCCUCUCAAAUGCUAUUAGCACUUAGUAGGAAUGCACCGAAUCCAGGAAUUUACAAAAGUUUUACUCUGUAGUAUUAUCCUGUGGCAACCAAUCAAAAUUUUGCUUUCAUUAGCCUUAAGGUGGCCACACACAUAG